AUGGGGACUCCCGAUUUACAGCUAAUCAGUCAGAAGCUCAGACUGAGAAAAUUGAUCUGCAGACCGGGAGACCGGAGCGCUGUGCCUGGCGAGAGGACGGUCGUCCGCGUGUUCACCGCCUCCUCCUCGGGCUUCGUGGCGAUAAAGAAGAAGCAGCAGGAUGUGGUUAGAUUUCUGGAAGCCAACAAGAUAAAGUCUGAGGAGGUGGACGUCACGAUGUCAGAAGAGCAGAGGCAGUGGAUGUACAAAAACAUCCCCCCGGAGAAGGAGCCUGUUCAGGGCAACCCUCUGCCACCUCAGAUAUUUAAUGGGGACCGAUACUGUGCAGAUUAUGACAGUUUAUUUGAAUCCAAGGAAAGCAACACAGUCUUUUCAUUCUUAGGCCUGAAAUCACAGUUGGCAUCAAAGGAAGAACCUUAGUGAAGACAAGUGGAAGAGGACGGAGAUGCAUUUUGCAGCACCCCUGGUACUCAGCACACACCUGCUUACCUAAUGCAUCAGUGUGACAGAAGCCACAUGCAUUAUCAGUAACUUUGCUUG